UACAGAGGGGGCAAGCGUUGUUCGGAAUUACUGGGCGUAAAGGGCGCGUAGGCGGCCUUCUAAGUCGAACGUGAAAUCCCUGGGCUCAACCCAGGAACUGCGUCCGAGACUGGGAGGCUAGAAUCCGGGAGAGGGAUGUGGAAUUCCAGGUGUAGCGGUGAAAUGCGUAGAUAUCUGGAGGAACAUCGGUGGCGAAGGCGGCAUCCUGGACCGGUAUUGACGCUGAGGCGCGAAAACCAGGGGAGCAAACGGG
rnacentral:rRNA from 1 species